rnacentral:antisense_RNA from 1 species
GUUUUUGGCGGUCUGCGCGGGGAGCCGCAAGGCUCACCGGAACCUUGUCCCGGUACGCCAACCCGCACAGUUCCGCCACUCUG